rnacentral:rRNA from 1 species
AAAUUGAAGAGUUUGAUCAUGGCUCAGAUUGAACGCUGGCGGCAGGCCUAACACAUGCAAGUCGAACGGUAACAGGAAGCAGCUUGCUGCUUCGCUGACGAGUGGCGGACGGGUGAGUAAUGUCUGGGAAACUGCCUGAUGGAGGGGGAUAACUACUGGAAACGGUGGCUAAUACCGCAUAACGUCGCAAGACCAAAGAGGGGGACCUUCGGGCCUCUUGCCAUCAGAUGUGCCCAGAUGGGAUUAGCUGGUUGGUGAGGUAACGGCUCACCAAGGCGACGAUCCCUAGCUGGUCUGAGAGGAUGACCAGCCACACUGGAACUGAGACACGGUCCAGACUCCUACGGGAGGCAGCAGUGGGGAAUAUUGCACAAUGGGCGCAAGCCUGAUGCAGCCAUGCCGCGUGUAUGAAGAAGGCCUUCGGGUUGUAAAGUACUUUCAGCGGGGAGGAAGGUGUUGUGGUUAAUAACUGCAGCAAUUGACGUUACCCGCAGAAGAAGCACCGGCUAACUCCGUGCCAGCAGCCGC